CAUUAUAAUUCAAGAGCCGGC
rnacentral:miRNA from 1 species